GACGAACGCUGGCGGCGUGCCUAAUACAUGCAAGUCGAACGCUGAAGGAGGAGCUUGCUUCUCUGGAUGAGUUGCGAACGGGUGAGUAACGCGUAGGUAACCUGCCUGGUAGCGGGGGAUAACUAUUGGAAACGAUAGCUAAUACCGCAUAAUAGUAGAUGUUGCAUGACAUUUGCUUAAAAGGUGCAAUUGCAUCACUACCAGAUGGACCUGCGUUGUAUUAGCUAGUUGGUGAGGUAACGGCUCACCAAGGCGACGAUACAUAGCCGACCUGAGAGGGUGAUCGGCCACACUGGGACUGAGACACGGCCCAGACUCCUACGGGAGGCAGCAGUAGGGAAUCUUCGGCAAUGGACGGAAGUCUGACCGAGCAACGCCGCGUGAGUGAAGAAGGUUUUCGGAUCGUAAAGCUCUGUUGUAAGAGAAGAACGAGUGUGAGAGUGGAAAGUUCACACUGUGACGGUAGCUUACCAGAAAGGGACGGCUAACUACGUG
rnacentral:rRNA from 1 species